UACAGAGGGUGCGAGCGUUAAUCGGAAUUACUGGGCGUAAAGCGCACGUAGGCGGCUUGGUAUGUCGGGUGUGAAAUCCCCGGGCUCAACCUGGGAACUGCAUCCGAAACUGCCUUGCUAGAGUAUGGGAGAGGGAAGUGGAAUUUCCGGUGUAGCGGUGAAAUGCGUAGAUAUCGGAAGGAACACCAGUGGCGAAGGCGGCUACCUGGACCAAUUCUGACGCUGAGGAGCGAAAGCCAGGGGAGCAAACGGG
rnacentral:rRNA from 1 species